UGGGAUACAGAUCGAAGGAGGCACAGGCCUCCUGCCUGGGAUCCUCCUAACUACUCCUUGUCGCCGUCAGCGGGCUGCACAUAGUAGUAGGCACCUCCCGAGUAGUAGUAGUAGUCAUCAGCGACGGUGGCGUCUGGCUCCUGGGCUCUAACGUCUGGUCGCAGCAAUCGAGUAUAGAAAGGGGGAAAAAGGGGGAGCAAAGCAACUGUGAGUACUCAUCCAAAGUACUCGCAAGCAAGGAGGUACACUACAUAUGUAUGCAUUGGUAUCAAAUGGAAAAAAGGAUAUCUUAUGUGGACUAAACUGCAGAAAGCCGGAAUAAGAGGGGGAUAGCUAGUCCUUUCGAAGACUACGCUUCUGGUAACCUCCAUCUUGCAGCAUGUAGAAGAGAGUAGAUUGAGGUCCUCCAAGUAGCAUCGCAUAGCAUAACCCUAACCGAUGAUCCUCCCCUCGUCGCCCUGUGAGAGAGAGAUCACCGGUUGUAUCUGAUACUUGGAAGGGUGUGUUUUAUUAAGUAUCCGGUUCUAGUUGUCAUAAGGUCAAGGUACAACUCCAAGUCGUCCUGUUACCGAAGAUCACGGCUAUUCGAAUAGAUUAACUUCCCUGCAGGGGUGCACCACAUAUCCCAACACGCUCGAUCCCAUUUGGCCGGACACACUUUCCUGGGUCAUGCCCGGCCUCGGAAGAUCAACACGUCGCAUCCCUACCUAGGCACAACAGAGGUCAGCACGCCGGUCUAAAUCCUAUGGCGCAGGGGUCUGGGCCCAUCGCCCUUUGCACACCUGCACGUUGCGAACGCGGCCGGAAGCAGAACUAGCCCCCUUAAUACAAGAGCAGGCUUACGGUCCAAUCCGGCGCGCGCCACUCAGUCGCUGACGUCACGAAGGCUUCGGCUGAUACCACGACGUCGAGUGCCCAUAACUGUCCCCGCGUAGAUGGUUAGUGCGUAUAGGCCAGUAGCCAGACUCAGAUCAAAUACCAAGAUCUCGUUAAACGUGUUAAGUAUCCGCGAACACCGACCAGGGCCAGGCCCACCUCCCUCCUAGGUGGUCUCAACCUGCCCUGUCGCUUCGCCACAAAGAUCCACUCGCGGGUACUCCUACGAGCCGACCCGUCUUUUAGUCAUCACAUGUAUCAUGUAUAAAGUAUAUAGUAUAUACCCGUGAUCACCUCCCGAGUGAUCACGGCCCGGUAGUAUAGCAUGGCAGACGGACAAGAAUGUAGGGCCACUGAUGAUAAACUAGCAUCCUAUACUAACCAUUAGGAUUGCAGGUAAAGGUAACAACAGUAGUAGCAAGGAUAGGCUAUGCAUCAGAAUAGGAUUAACGGAAAGCAGUAACAUGCUACACUACUCUAAUGCAAGCAGUAGAGAAAAGAGUAGGCGAUAUCUGGUGAUCAAGGGGGGGGGGCUUGCCUGGUUGCUCUGGCAAGAGAGAGGGGUCGUCAACACCGUAGUCGUACUGGGUAGCAGCGAC
rnacentral:lncRNA from 1 species